rnacentral:rRNA from 1 species
AUGAACGCUGGCGGCGUGCCUAAUACAUGCAAGUCGAGCGAACGGACGAGAAGCUUGCUUCUCUGAUGUUAGCGGCGGACGGGUGAGUAACACGUGGAUACCCUACCUAUAAGACUGGGAUAACUUCGGGAAACCGGAGCUAAUACCGGAUGAUAUUUUUAACCGCAUGUUUCAAAAGUGAAAGACGGUCUUGCUGUCACUUAUAGAUGGAUCCGCGCUGCAUUAGCUAGUUGGUAAGGUAACGGCUUACCAAGGCAACGAUGCAUAGCCGACCUGAGAGGGUGAUCGGCCACACUGGAACUGAGACACGGACCAGACGCCUACGGGAGGCAGCAGUAGGGAAUCGUACGCAAUGGGCGAAAGCCUGACGGAGCAACGCCGCGUGAGUGAUGAAGGUCUUCGGAUCGUAAAACUCUGUUAUGAGGGAAGAACAGAUGUGUAAGUAACUGUGCACAUCGUGACGGUACCUAAUCAGAAAGCCACGGCUAACUACGUG